rnacentral:rRNA from 1 species
UGGGGAAUAUUGGGCAAUGGGCGCAAGCCUGACCCAGCAACGCCGCGUGAGGGAAGAAGGUUUUCGGAUUGUAAACCUCUGUCCUUAGGGACGAAAAAAAUGACGGUACCUAAGGAGGAAGCUCCGGCUAACUACGUGCCAGCAGCCGCGGUAAUACGUAGGGAGCAAGCGUUGUCCGGAAUUACUGGGCGUAAAGGGUGCGUAGGUGGCCAUGGAAGUCAGAUGUGAAAUCCCCGGGCUUAACUCGGGUGCUGCAUUUGAAACUGCGUGGCUUGAGUGCAGGAGAGGAAAGCGGAAUUCCUAGUGUAGCGGUGAAAUGCGUAGAUAUUAGGAGGAACACCAGUGGCGAAGGCGGCUUUCUGGACUGUAACUGACACUGAGGCACGAAAGCGUGGGGAGCAAACA